CGGGGUGUGGCGCAGUUAGCAGCGCGCCGCGUUUGGGACGCGGAGGUCGCGGGGGCGGGACCCGCCACCCCGA
rnacentral:tRNA from 1 species